UACGAAGGGUGCAAACGUUGCUCGGAAUCAUUGGGCGUAACGCGCACGUAGGCGGCCCUAUAAGUCGGAUGUGAAAUCCCUCGGCUCAACCGAGGACGUGCAUUCGAAACUGUCGGGCUCGAGUAUGGAAGAGGGUCGCGGAAUUCCCGGUGUAGAGGUGAAAUUCGUAGAUAUCGGGAGGAACACCAGUGGCGAAGGCGGCGACCUGGGCCAAUACUGACGCUGAGGUGCGAAAGCGUGGGGAGCAAACAGG
rnacentral:rRNA from 1 species